GACAACUUGCAAAGCAUCCUGUGCAAGUUUGCAGCAAGACGAUCUGCUCAUUCAGCGGCUGCUGAAACUGGCCCCGUGGCCACCCCACUCAGGAACCGUGAGAUUCAGCUGCUCCUCCAGGCUCCAGCCACAGCGCUGGCUCAGCUCAGCCACCCCGGGGCUGAAGCAGCGAUGCUCGGGGAUGAACCCAAAGAAGACAACACCCACGUACACUGGGGUGAAGGCAGCAGAAAGCAAACACAGAACAAAGAAGGUUUGCUUCUGGAACCUGUCAAAUUCUCCAACAUUCUCCAAAAUGUCAUCUAGAGUUGGCAUUUUGGUAUCAAAACCACUCCAAAAACUUCAUGUAGGACUUCACUGCAGCACUGAUAUAUUUAGUUGGCAGCAACGCUAUUUAAGUAACAAAGACAUUUGACCCAAAGUCAAGACUAACUUCAUAAAUUAUUAAACUACAUGUUGCAAGCUU